rnacentral:rRNA from 1 species
GACGGACGCUGGCGGCAUGCCUAACACAUGCAAGUCGAACGAGAUCUUCGGGUCUAGUGGCGCACGGGUGCGUAACGCGUGGGAAUCUGCCCUUUGGUUCGGAAUAACAGUUGGAAACGACUGCCAAUACCGGAUGAUGACGAAAGUCCAAAGAUUUAUCGCCAGAGGAUGAGCCCGCGUAGGAUUAGCUAGUUGGUGUGGUAAAGGCGCACCAAGGCGACGAUCCUUAGCUGGUCUGAGAGGAUGAUCAGCCACACUGGGACUGAGACACGGCCCAGACUCCUACGGGAGGCAGCAGUGGGGAAUAUUGGACAAUGGGCGAAAGCCUGAUCCAGCAAUGCCGCGUGAGUGAUGAAGGCCUUAGGGUUGUAAAGCUCUUUUACCCGGGAUGAUAAUGACAGUACCGGGAGAAUAAGCUCCGGCUAACUCCGUGCCAGCCGCCGCAUAA